UACGGAGGGUGCAAGCGUUAUCCGGAUUCACUGGGUUUAAAGGGUGCGUAGGUGGCUUUGUAAGUCAGUGGUGAAAGCUCGGAGCUCAACUCCGAAACUGCCAUUGAUACUGCUUAGCUUGAAUCAGGUCGAGGUGGAUGGAAUGUGACAUGUAGCGGUGAAAUGCUUAGAUAUGUUACAGAACACCAAUUGCGAAGGCAGUUCACCAGCCCUGUAUUGACACUGAGGCACGAAAGCGUGGGGAUCAAACAGG
rnacentral:rRNA from 1 species